rnacentral:rRNA from 1 species
UACGUAGGGGGCAAGCGUUGUCCGGAUUUAUUGGGCGUAAAGCGCACGCAGGCGGUGCAGUAAGUUACAAGUGACAGGUGGUGGCUUAACUACCACAGGCCUUGGAAAACUGCUGCACUUGAGGGCUUGAGAGGGACGCGGAAUUCCAGGUGGAGCGGUGAAAUGCGUAGAGAUCUGGAAGAACACCAAAGGCGAAGGCAGCGUCCUGGCAAGUUCCUGACGCUCAGGUGCGAAAGCUAGGGGAGCGAACGGG